rnacentral:rRNA from 1 species
GUGGGGAAUCUUAGACAAUGGGCGCAAGCCUGAUCUAGCCAUGCCGCGUGAGCGAUGAAGGCCUUAGGGUUGUAAAGCUCUUUCGUGGGGGAAGAUAAUGACUGUACCCCAAGAAGAAGCCCCGGCUAACUCCGUGCCAGCAGCCGCGGUAAUACGGAGGGGGCUAGCGUUGUUCGGAAUUACUGGGCGUAAAGCGCACGUAGGCGGACUGGAAAGUCAGGGGUGAAAUCCCGGGGCUCAACCCCGGAACUGCCUUUGAAACUCCCAGUCUUGAGUUCGAGAGAGGUGAGUGGAAUUCCGAGUGUAGAGGUGAAAUUCGUAGAUAUUCGGAGGAACACCAGUGGCGAAGGCGGCUCACUGGCUCGAUACUGACGCUGAGGCGCGAAAGCGUGGGGAGCAAACAGGAUUAGAAACCCCGGUAGUCC